UAGAUUGGUUUUACUUAAGAAGCAAUGAAAAAAGCACCCAAAUUAAAGUUUCUCCUUCCUUUAGGAGAGAAUGUAGCCCCUUGAUGCAGAGAGUGCACAUCACUUGAUAUUGGACCUGUUUGAAUGUCGUCCUCGCCAAGAUUUUAGCUCCAUGAGAGCUGAGACCCUGUUUGUCUCUUUCUCUGUUGUUUCCUUGGCAUCUAAUCCCAGUGCCUGGAGAAGCGCACUGACCCAAGAUGCCCCUUGGAGGCCUCUGGCUGCUCAUGAGCCAGGCCUGACUGGUGGUGUUUCCUGGAAGAGGCUGACCCAGCUGCUCUGUGAAGACAGGAGAGAGGGGAACAUCUGCAGGUCCAGUAAUGAGUGGCUUUCCUGGGCUUGAGACAAUUUGCAUUGUACCAUCUGAAAGACUAUCCCAUUCAGCCCAGAACUGCCCCCUUCAAAAGUUCUAUCAGAUACCUACGUAGGUGGCAAAAAUGUAUACCAUGAUCUUAUCCAGGACCUUAACUCCAGUGUAUAUGUAAAUGUAAACUAAUCACAUAUGUUCCUUGACUUACAAGGUAGGUUACCAUCUUAUAACUCACUGUAAGUUGGAAAUGGUGUGGCUAGUAGUAAGUUGCAGUUAGACAGAACCAACAGUGGGGUGACAGCAGAUAACAGACACAUACUGCACACCUCAAAAAGUUACAGGAAAGAUUUGGGAGUUUUCAUCAUAAACAAAUGAUGUUUGAGGAAAGACACGUCUAAAUGAUUUAAACACUUCAGAUAUCCAGACAUCAUUCCAUUAAUAUGUAUCUGUCAGAAUGUUUUAUGUAUCAGUUUGAAAAUAUACUUUAAAGAAGACUUGUAAAUUUACGUUUAGUAGAUUACAUGCAAUCAACUAAACACGCUAGCUCAGAAACUAAUUCUGCAGUGGCUCCUCACGUGCUCCCCCUCACCCUUCAGAGGCCAUCAGCGGUUCAGGUCACUGCCCAGUGUUGUACCAGGAGGCCAGCAGCCAGAGUACAGUCCAUACUAACGCAUGCCUGCUUCUGUAGCCAUUAAGUUGAAAAACUGCAAGUUGAACUGCCUUAAAUCUGGAAACAUUGACUGCAUUCAUUGCCUUACUUUCCAGAAAUAUAAAUAUUCCAUCAGUGAAAAGGUUUGCUUUGUUCAGGUUGUG